AACUUGGGGUCCAGAGGAAAGUCACCCCUGUGGCCAACUCCUUCUUUGUUGUACAGAUGAAGCUGAGUCAGUGUGGCAACAGGUGUCCCUGUGGCAACGAGGCAAACAGGAGAUUUCAGCUCUUCCAAGAUGAUUUUGGAAAGCUGGAUCCCAAAGCAGGAGUGAUCAAAGCCCUCGGAGAGUUGAAUACCCUCUUUGACUGGAUGAAUCAAGUAUACCAGCAGUAAGAACUGAGUCCAGAGGAUGACUGACGUUCUGUUUUACUUCAAGCAAGCCACGCACAUGGUGAAGUGGAUACUUGGAAAAUACCUAGUUCAUUUGUUCAGUGUAGACCUCCCUCUUCAAGAUUAUUCAGCCCCCCUCCACCAACAAAAAUCAACUUGGGGGCCUGAUUUAUCCAGGCAAUGGUCUAAUAUCCAAUUGAUCUUUUUGUGGGAAUCACCACAAUGGCCAGACACUCUUAUCCUCUGACUGAAAUGGGCAAAGAAAGAUCUUGUGAAAAGGCAGGUUUGUUCAUUAGCAAAUUAGAUAUUUAGAGAACGUGCCUUGGGAGACUUUGCACAGCCUCUACAUGAUGCAGCAGCUCCCUCGGUGGGGCUGGGAAAUGAAGCUGUAAAUUUCAGUGGUCAACCUUUGUUCUUUAAGUGCUUAGUACAAUGUUCUGCACACAAUAAAUGCUCAAUGAAUGCCACUGAUGAUGAUGGUGACAGCGGAAGAAAGUGAUAAACUGUAGCAACCAGAAAAGCCACUGUUGUCUCUGAAAUCAGGCCUGAAAGCUCAUUUCCAGCACCAGUCAAAUCAGGCACCCACAGUUUACAAUUUAUGGAUUUUUAACAAAGUGAGUUGUGUAUAUUGAAUAUAUUUAUUCCAAACCUAUUUAAUAACUGUUUUGUGUGUAAUUUAUACUUUAUUUAUACAGAGAGCAAGGGGUACAUGGGGAGAGGGAGAGGUACAGGGAAGGAGGUGAGGAAUGUUAAAAAUCCUUUUCUUUGGAUAAAUUACUGCUCAGCAGAAAUAUCACUAAAAAUUGGCAAGGGCUAUUCAGAGGCAAACUUAACCUGGGUAACAGUUUUUUGGUACUAAAAGUAAAUUGUUUUGAUGUCCUUUCCUAAUAAAGACUAAUGAUUA